ACCAAAACUGUACUUGACAACAGUUUGUUGAAAAAUGGACAGAAGUGCCAAAUAUCCAUUUGUCUAUUCAAAUGUCCAAGCCAACUUCCUAGUGAAAUGUUGGUUGCAAUUGCAUUUGAGUUAAACUUUAGAGUAGGGGGGAAAGAGAUGUGUACAUUUCCAUAUUUCAGUUCCUUUAAAUGCUAAAUAGACAUCAUGAUAUUCAGUCAGUCCUGCUUCCUGAGGUUAUUACCAGGCAUACAAAAGAAAUACACUGAACUAUUUUAAGGAAGUGCAGAAUAUGUGAUAUUGAAGUAUUACAAUAUAAUACCUUAAUUAAGGAGUUAAUUUUCUAUUUCCUCUAAUGAAUAUAAUCAACCACUACCUCUUUGUUCUCCAGUCCAUCACUUAAUUAAUCAGUUCCUCCAUGCAAAGUGAACAUAUUCUGGUCCCUGAAUAAAAUGGAGAAAUAUCUGCCGUAGUCCGUCAGCCUCCAGGCACAGCUGUGUGGAGUUAUCCACAUCCACAGCCUCCCCUUGCUGGGGCACCGGUAGUCCAUGGUUAAUGCAGCCCUGGCUGACUAGGGGAGGGGCUUAAGCUUGAUUCAGACGGGAAACGCACAGAUGGUUUUCCCACUUAUCUGUCAAAGAAAAACCACAUUUCAUUCUCCCCAGAAGGUAAUGCUGCUUUGUAAGAAAAAAAGUGUGGCUCAUUUCAUUGAGACUAAAUCUGCAGGCAAAAAACUGAAUGAGUCAACCAUUAGCAUGUGGUCAGGAAUUUGACUACCAAAGCCAGCACUGGUUUGUCAUCACAAUUGGGUCAGUAGAUAGAAAACUGUCAGGCAUUGAAGGAAAUUUUGGAAGGUAAAUACAUUAUAUACAGUUCUAAAAUAUUAAUACUACAAAUUUCAAUAAGAUCAGCACCUGAAAAAAAAUCUUGAAUAAGCAUUGAGUAGAAGAGUCCAAUUGUGAAGGGCUUAUAGUAAAUGACAAGUGCAGAUUCUUCUAGAGACUGUGACCAAGAUAAAGCCCUACCACCAACCAUGUCUGGGGUCACAAAAGCUGGGUUGCUCAGUUCAACCUCCUGGUGCACGAAUUCCAUCUCAGUGAGGGAUCAGGUUUGUCUAGAAGAUAAUUUCAAGAGCCCAUAGCAGGGUGUCCCCCCAAAGGAGGCAG
rnacentral:lncRNA from 1 species